rnacentral:tRNA from 1 species
GCCGCGAUGGCACAACCUGGUACUGCGAUGGCCUUGAGAGCCAUUUUCCGAAAGGAUGUCCCGGUUCAAAUCCGGGUCGCGGCG